GAGAGAGAGAAGUUCCUGAUCUAUGCAUGGUACAUUGUUAAACAAAUACUAUUAAUAUUAUUUUGCUAAAAGCUAAUAAGAAAGGUGAAUAUAUACAUGUAAAACAUUUUUUUGUUACAAGCUUUAUAAAAGAGGACAUGAGGUCAUAGAAUUCAAAAAUCGAUUCAACUGGCCUUCAAUUUGUUCAUUUGUUUUUCUUUGUGUUUCUAUAGAUUUAUCUCCAAAAUAACUUGUGGCCUGAGAUGCUGACCCCAUAGAAGGAUAUGGCCAAUGUUUUUUUUCUUCUUUUUCUUUUCCAGUUGAUUCAAACAAUUUCGGAACUGGAGAGCAGAAGCACUUUUCUAUCAGAUUGUUUUGAUUCCCUAUAACAUGAAGCUGGGGAUUUCAGCGCCAGUGAUAUUGUUUGUUUCUUGGCGUUAUGAAUGUAACAUAUGGAAUCCAUGCAUGUGGUUUUGAUGGCUGCCAGCUGCUUCCUUACAGAGUCUCCAGUGUACAUAAAACCUGGAAAUGAGGAAAUAUGAAAGGAAGUUUUCCUAAUCCUGAGCAGACUAUAAAACUCCAACACAAUACUGAAACAAUGACUGAUGAAUGGUUAGGAUGGAGUGAAUACCUGAUGCAAGCACAGCGCUUCCUCUCAUGUUAUUGGCAAUAUUCCACACACAAUCCAGCUAUGUGAGCAAAAUAACAAAAUCCUGAGGCCUGCAA